AGAGCCGGUUUCAAACCUAAGUGCUUCGGCUUGGUGUUCACCCUUCUGCCCCAGGGACCUAGUGGCCCCCUUCAAAUAGCCUGCACAGGCAAGGGUAAUCCAAGAACAGGAUCGAUGUCGGGAGGUUCCAGUGAAAACUUGCAGAUCUUCAGACAACGUCGCUGGGCUAGCAAAACACAAUGGACCAUUUGGCCUUUGAAGCUCUGAGCAUGUCUGGUGACAAGGCAGCAUAAGGGAGCGGAUGGCUUGUGUGGCAGGGUCCCGAGGGAGAGUCCAAGGAUAGCAGGGAGAAGUUUGGCCCUGUCAGAAGACACAGCUCCCUGUGCAGGUGAAAAAGCAGAGCGCUUCCACACUCAGGGAACCAGAAUGCUUCUGCCUGCCACUGACCCUGGUCCCAGGCCCCCCAGAAGGAAGCUCUUUUUUUGGAGGCCUUGCCCUGUGCAUCUCUUCAUCUGGCUGUUGCUCUACCAUCUGACUCACAGCAAGCUGUGCUCUGGCCUGGGCCUCCACGGUUUGCUCCCCAUCUAUCGGCUGUUGCGCCCUCAGUUCUAAGCACCUCUUCAUGAAGAAUGUAGCGUGUGUCAUGGACAUACACACUGAAAUAUUCAUCAAUGAAUCAGUACAAUGUCUCCAGCUUACAACUUACUCUCAAAUGGUCUAGACAAAAAAGCAUCCAUCUAUCAUCUACAAAAGAACAAGUAAGACAGAUUGAAUGACAGAGCAAAUGUGGAUGAAGCACAGUGCAUUCUUAGAAAGGCUGAACAAUUUCAUACCUUCCUGCCCCCUCACAUACAUAGUAGAGGUGAGCUGUUUAACACAGGUCCAGAAAAGAAAGAAGGAAAGGGGAAAGGACAGAGAGAUAAAGAGAGGGAGGCAGAAAGAUAUGAGCCCGAGAAUUUCCCUGGCUGGCUGGGAGCCUUUAAAUGUGCCUGGAUGGGAAAGUUCAGUUGAUGCUUACAAACUGUGACCUGAAGCCCCUUCAUGAUCGGCCUGCCUGGACCGAAUGCAGCUGUUCAACAC